rnacentral:rRNA from 1 species
CCUGGCUCAGGAUGAACGCUGGCGGCGUGCCUAUCAUGCAGUCGAGCGAACUGAUUAGAAGCUUGCUUCUAUGACGUUAGCGGCGGACGGGUGAGUAACACGUGGGCAACCUGCCUGUAAGACUGGGAUAACUUCGGGAAACCGAAGCUAAUACCGGAUAGGAUCUUCUCCUUCAUGGGAGAUGAUUGAAAGAUGGUUUCGGCUAUCACUUACAGAUGGGCCCGCGGUGCAUUAGCUAGUUGGUGAGGUAACGGCUCACCAAGGCAACGAUGCAUAGCCGACCUGAGAGGGUGAUCGGCCACACUGGGACUGAGACACGGCCCAGACUCCUACGGGAGGCAGCAGUAGGGAAUCUUCCGCAAUGGACGAAAGUCUGACGGAGCAACGCCGCGUGAGUGAUGAAGGCUUUCGGGUCGUAAAACUCUGUUGUUAGGGAAGAACAAGUACAAGAGUAACUGCUUGUACCUUGACGGUACCUAACCAGAAAGCCACGGCUAACUACGUGCCAGCAGCCGCGGUAAUAC